CAUAUCAAUAAGCGGAGGAAAAGAAACCAACCGGGAUUGCCUUAGUAACGGCGAGUGAAGCGGCAAAAGCUCAAAUUUGAAAUCUGGUACCUUCGGUGCCCGAGUUGUAAUUUGGAGAGGGCAACUUUGGGGCCGUUCCUUGUCUAUGUUCCUUGGAACAGGACGUCAUAGAGGGUGAGAAUCCCGUGUGGCGAGGAGUGCGGUUCUUUGUAAAGUGCCUUCGAAGAGUCGAGUUGUUUGGGAAUGCAGCUCUAAGUGGGUGGUAAAUUCCAUCUAAAGCUAAAUAUUGGCGAGAGACCGAUAGCGAACAAGUACAGUGAUGGAAAGAUGAAAAGAACUUUGAAAAGAGAGUGAAAAAGUACGUGAAAUUGUUGAAAGGGAAGGGCAUUUGAUCAGACAUGGUGUUUUGUGCCCUCUGCUCCUUGUGGGUAGGGGAAUCUCGCAUUUCACUGGGCCAGCAUCAGUUUUGGUGGCAGGAUAAAUCCAUAGGAAUGUA
rnacentral:rRNA from 1 species